rnacentral:rRNA from 1 species
AUUGAACGCUGGCGGCAGGCCUAACACAUGCAAGUCGAACGAGUGGCGGACGGGUGAGUAAUGUCUGGGAAACUGCCUGAUGGAGGGGGAUAACUACUGGAAACGGUAGCUAAUACCGCAUACCAUCGGAUGUGCCCAGAUGGGAUUAGCUAGUAGGUGGGGUAAAGGCUCACCUAGGCGACGAUCCCUAGCUGGUCUGAGAGGAGGACCAGCCAGGCUGGAAGUGAGCCACGGUCCAGACUCCUACGGGAGGCAGCAGUUGGGAAUAUGGCACAAUGGGCGCAAGCCUGAUGCAGCCAUGCCGCGUGUAGGAAGAAGUCCGUCGGGUUGUAAAGUACUUUCAGCGGGGAGGCGUUACCCGCAGAAGAAUCACCGGCUAACUCCGUGCCAGCAGCCGCGGUAAUUC